rnacentral:rRNA from 1 species
UGCCAGCAGCCGCGGUAAGACGUAGGAUGCAAGCGUUGUUCGGAAUUACUGGGCGUAAAGCGCGCGUAGGCGGCUAUUUAAGUCAGAUGUGAAAGUCCACGGCUCAACCGUGGAAGUGCAUUUGAAACUGGAUGGCUUGAGUACUGGAGGGGGUGGUGGAAUUCCCGGUGUAGAGGUGAAAUUCGUAGAUAUCGGGAGGAAUACCGGUGGCGAAGGCGACCACCUGGGACGGAACUGACGCUGAUGAACGAAAGCUAGGGUAUCAAACGGGAUUAGAUA